rfam:Gossypium hirsutum cultivar TM-1 chromosome 9, whole genome shotgun sequence
AAUUAAAAUUUUUAUCCAUUUCUAAUGUUAAAAACUAGGGUGACUAAUGAAAUAACCAGAAAGUUACACAUGUCAUGCUCUGUAUACCCCAUGUCGAUGUACAAUGACUAGUUAUUAAUAGUGAAAAUUGAUGAAAAUUUUCAUA